GCAGAUCCAAUUUUCUGCCACCGAAUACAUUAGCAUGGGAUAAUGGAAUAGGACCCUGUCCUCCUAUUUUCAGUUGGUUUUGGCAGCGCGAGGACUAGGGUAAUGAUUAAUAGGGAUAGUUGGGGGCAUUAAUAUUUAAUUGUCAGAGGUGAAAUUCUUGGAUUUAUGAAAGAUUAACUUCUGCGAAAGCAUCUGCCAAGGAUGUUUUCAUUAAUCAAGAACGAAAGUUAGGGGAUCGAAGACGAUCAGAUACCGUCGUAGUCUUAACCAUAAACGAUGCCGACCAGCGAUUAGGAGACGUUGAAUACAAAACACCACCAUCGGCGCGGUCGUCCUUGGCGUC
rnacentral:rRNA from 1 species